rnacentral:rRNA from 1 species
UACGUAGGGUGCAAGCGUUGUCCGGAAUUAUUGGGCGUAAAGAGCUCGUAGGCGGUUCGUCGCGUCGGCUGUGAAAACCCGGAGCUCAACUCCGGGCCUGCAGUCGAUACGGGCGGACUUGAGUGUUGCAGGGGAGACUGGAAUUCCUGGUGUAGCGGUGAAAUGCGCAGAGAUCAGGAGGAACACCGGUGGCGAAGGCGGGUCUCUGGGCAACUACUGACGCUGAGGAGCGAAAGCGUGGGGAGCGAACAGG